GAAGGCUCAUUAAGUCCGUUGAGGACGAGGCAGCAGUAGAGAAUAUUGUGCAAUGUACGGCAGUAUGACACAGAGAGCACACGCCCUCUUGGCCUGUCCAACUAAGUGCCAGCAGACGCGGUUAGACUUAGGGGCCAAGCCUUUAUGAGCAAAGGGGCGUAAAGGGUGUGUAGGCCGACUGCCCCACCCCCCCCAAGGUGGUAAAUGGAAUUUUUCUGUAGCGGUAGAAUGUGCGGAUAGAAAAUAGAACCCCAAAAGCAGAAGCAAUUUACCGCGGGGCGGGAGGGGGGGCCCCUUGGGGCGCCCCUCCGGGUCACGGGCUGAAACACGAGGGUGUGGGGAACAAACAGGAUUAGAGACCCUGGUAGUCCACACUGUAAACGAUGGAGAAAAUGCGAAUGCAGCCCCGAAAGGCAGCAAUCUCCCGCCUGAGUAGUACGAUCGCAAGAUUAAAAUUCAAAAAAUUUGGCUGUUCACCGUUUCGAUUAGAGGAGCGUGUAGUUUAAUUCGAUAAACCGCGAGAUACCUUACCCAAACUUGAAUCGCCCCACCCGCGACCCGAGUGGGGUGACCGGUAUUGCAUGGCCGUCGUCAGUUCGUGUAUGAAACCUUAAACGGACCCAACCCGAGGAUUAGCCGCGGAUGAAGUCAGGUCUUAUGGUCCCAAUGUUUGGGGAUAAUAUGCGCUACAUUUUCUUAUACAAUGGGAAACCUGAGAGGUGAAACCCAAAAGUGAGAGUUCGGUAGGCUAUUGGAAGAUGGCCGAAAGUUGAAUUUAAUAGUAAUCGGAAAGUAUAGCGUUCCGGUGAAAAUGGUCUAGGUGUUAGCACAAAUCGCCCGUCACCUUAACUUAGGAUGAUGGUUCGGACGCCGCCGCGCCCCCACGGGCCCCGGCGGUUACGGGCCCCUACGAAGUUAAGCAA
rnacentral:rRNA from 1 species